rnacentral:rRNA from 1 species
UACGAAGGGGGCUAGCGUUGUUCGGAAUUACUGGGCGUAAAGCGCGCGUAGGCGGUGAUCUUUGUCAGAGGUGAAAUCCCGAGGCUCAACUUCGGAAUUGCCUUUGAAACGGGAUCGCUUGAGUCCGAGAGAGGAUGGCGGAAUUCCUAGUGUAGAGGUGAAAUUCGUAGAUAUUAGGAAGAACACCGGUGGCGAAGGCGGCCAUCUGGCUCGGUACUGACGCUCAGGCGCGAAAGCGUGGGGAGCGAACAGG